ensembl:lncRNA novel transcript
GGGCAGAGGGUCAUGUAGUGGAAUAGAGCUGUACCUGGCUUCAGGCGAGACUUGGAAGUGCCUUUCGCCUCCCGCCAUGAUUCUGAGGCCUCCCCAGCCAUGUGGAACUAUUCUUGUGCUGUCACUCAGGCUGGAGUGCAACGUUGAAAUCUCGGCUCACUGCAACUUCUGCCUCCCGGAUUCAGGCAAUUCUUGUGUCUCAGCCUCCUAAGAAGCUGAGAUUACAGCAACUCCAAAAUGGAAGUACUAUUGUUAUCUCCGUUUACAAAUUAGGAAACUGAGGCACAGAUAUGCUCUUGGGUACUUGUCAGCAGCAGUUGUUCUACAAAUGAGCGUCUUAGCCUCUGGAUUACUGCUCAAUGAGGAAAGCUAUGAAAUGCAUGGAUAACUUGCUAAUCAGUAUUUGCCAUAUGUGCUAGCAGCAUCAGCAUCAGUUGGGAGAUUAUGGUGGCCUCCAUGUCAGACCUCCUAAAUCGGAAUAUCAGAGAAGGUGGCCCAGGUUACCAUGCUUCAUCUGCCAAUGCAUUGAAAACUUGGAAUGUAAAUUAAUUCAACCAUUGUGGAAGAUGGUGUAGUGAUUCCUCAAAGACCUAGAAGCAGAAAUAUCAUUUGAUCCAGAAAUCCCAUUACUGUGUAUACACCCAAAGGAAUAUAAACCAUUCUAUUACAAA